rnacentral:rRNA from 1 species
GAUGAACGCUAGCUACAGGCUUAACACAUGCAAGUCGAGGGGAAACGGCAUCGAAAGCUUGCUUUUGAUGGGCGUCGACCGGCGCACGGGUGAGUAACGCGUAUCCAACCUGCCCAUCACUUGGGAAUAACCUUGCGAAAGUAAGACUAAUGCCCAAUGACAUCCCACGAAGGCAUCCGAAUGGGAUUAAAGAUUUAUCGGUGAUGGAUGGGGAUGCGUCUGAUUAGCUUGUUGGCGGGGUGACGGCCCACCAUGGCAACGAUCAGUAGGGGUUCUGAGAGGAAGGUCCCCCACAUUGGAACUGAGACACGGUCCAAACUCCUACGGGAGGCAGCAGUGAGGAAUAUUGGUCAAUGGGCGAGAGCCUGAACCAGCCAAGUAGCGUGCAGGAUGACGGCCCUAUGGGUUGGAAACUGCUUUUAUAAGGGAAUAAAGUGGGUCACGUGUGACUUUUUGCAUGUACCGUAGGAAUAAGGACCGGCUAAUUCCGG